AUUGAACGCUGGCGGUAUGCUUAACACAUGCAAGUCGAACGGAAACGAAACUAGCUUGCUAGUAGGCGUCGAGUGGCGGACGGGUGAGUAACGCGUAGGAAUCUGCCUGAUAGUGGGGGAUAGCCCGAAGAAAUUCGGAUUAAUACCGCAUAAUCUAUUCGUAGUAAAGUGGGGGACUUUCGAGCCUCACGCUAUCAGAUGAGCCUGCGUAAGAUUAGCUUGUUGGUAGGGUAAAAGCCUACCAAGGCAACGAUCUUUAGCUGGUCUGAGAGGAUGAUCAGCCACAUCGGGACUGAGACACGGCCCGAACUCCUACGGGAGGCAGCAGUGGGGAAUAUUGGACAAUGGGGGCAACCCUGAUCCAGCAAUACCGCGUGUGUGAAGAAGGCCUGAGGGUUGUAAAGCACUUUCAAUUGUGAAGAAAAGUCAACGGUUAAUAACCGUUGACCUUGACGUUAACUUUAGAAGAAGCACCGGCUAACUCCGUGCCAGCAGCCGCGGUAAUACGGAGGGUGCAAGCGUUAAUCGGAAUUACUGGGCGUAAAGCGUGCGUAGGCGGUUUAUUAAGUCAGAUGUGAAAGCCCCGGGCUUAACCUGGGAACUGCAUUUGAAACUGGUCAACUAGAGUAUGGUAGAGGAAAGUGGAAUUUCUGGUGUAGCGGUGAAAUGCGUAGAUAUCAGAAGGAACAUCAAUGGCGAAGGCAGCUUUCUGGACCAAUACUGACGCUGAGGUACGAAAGCGUGGGUAGCAAACAGGAUUAGAUACCCUGGUAGUCCACGCCGUAAACGAUGAUAACUAGCCGUUGGGGGGAUUUACCCCUUAGUGGCGAAGCUAACGCGUUAAGUUAUCCGCCUGGGGAGUACGGCCGCAAGGCUAAAACUCAAAGGAAUUGACGGGGACCCGCACAAGCGUUGGAGCAUGUGGUUUAAUUCGAUGCAACGCGAAGAACCUUACCUGGUCUUGACAUCCUGCGAACUUUCUAGAAAUAGAUUGGUGCCUUCGGGAACGCAGUGACAGGUGCUGCAUGGCUGUCGUCAGCUCGUGUCGUGAGAUGUUGGGUUAAGUCCCGUAACGAGCGCAACCCCUAUCCUUAUUUGCCAGCACAUUAUGGUGGGAACUAUAAGGAGACUGCCGGUGAUAAACCGGAGGAAGGCGGGGACGACGUCAAGUCAUCAUGGCCCUUACGACCAGGGCUACACACGUGCUACAAUGGGAAGGACAAAGAGCCGCGAAGCCGCGAGGUGUAGCUAAUCUCAUAAAUCUUUUCGUAGUCCGGAUUGGAGUCUGCAACUCGACUCCAUGAAGUCGGAAUCGCUAGUAAUCGUAGAUCAGAAUGCUACGGUGAAUACGUUCCCGGGUCUUGUACACACCGCCCGUCAUACCAUGGGAGUGGGUUGCACCAGAAGUGGCUAGUCUAACUUUGUGAGGACGGUCACCACGGUGUGAUUCAUGACUGGGGUAAAGUCGUAACAAGGUAGCCCUACCGGAAGGUGGGGCUGGAUCACCUCCUUA
rnacentral:rRNA from 1 species